rnacentral:rRNA from 1 species
GACGAACGCUGGCGGCGUGCCUAAUACAUGCAAGUCGAGCGGAAGUUGGAGAGCUUGCUCUUCAACUUUAGCGGCGGACGGGUGAGUAACACGUGGGCAACCUGCCCUGCAGAUCGGGAUAACUCCGGGAAACCGGUGCUAAUACCGAAUAGUUUUCGCCACCUCCUGGUGGCGUACGGAAAGACGGUUUCGGCUGUCACUGCAGGAUGGGCCCGCGGCGCAUUAGCUAGUUGGUGGGGUAACGGCCCACCAAGGCGACGAUGCGUAGCCGACCUGAGAGGGUGAUCGGCCACACUGGGACUGAGACACGGCCCAGACUCCUACGGGAGGCAGCAGUAGGGAAUCUUCCGCAAUGGAUGAAAGUCUGACGGAGCAACGCCGCGUGAGUGACGAAGGUUUUCGGAUCGUAAAACUCUGCUGUGAGGGAAGAACAAGUACCAACUAACUACUGGUACCUUGACGGUACCUCACCAGAAAGCCACGGCUAACUACGUGCCAGCCGCCGCGGUAACAC